CAUUAAGUGGCUGAAAGCAAGCAAUGGAAUUUUAAACCAUACGAUAGUAAGCUAGCAACUACUCUUAAUGA
rnacentral:tRNA from 1 species